UACGGAGGGGACUAGCGUUGUUCGGAAUUACUGGGCGUAAAGCGCACGUAGGCGGAUUUGUAAGUCAGGGGUGAAAUCCCGGGGCUCAACCUCGGAACUGCCUUUGAUACUGCAAAUCUCGAGUCCGGAAGAGGUGAGUGGAAUUCCUAGUGUAGAGGUGAAAUUCGUAGAUAUUAGGAAGAACACCAGUGGCGAAGGCGGCUCACUGGUCCGGUACUGACGCUGAGGUGCGAAAGCGUGGGGAUCAAACAGG
rnacentral:rRNA from 1 species